CCUACGGGUGGCUGCAGUGGGGAAUAUUGGACAAUGGGGGCAACCCUGAUCCAGCCAUGCCGCGUGUGUGAAGAAGGCCCUCGGGUUGUAAAGCACUUUCAGUGAGGAAGAACGCCUGGUGGUUAAUACCCAUCAGGAAAGACAUCACUCACAGAAGAAGCACCGGCUAACUCCGUGCCAGCAGCCGCGGUAAUACGGAGGGUGCGAGCGUUAAUCGGAAUUACUGGGCGUAAAGCGCGCGUAGGUGGCUUGAUAAGCCGGUUGUGAAAGCCCCGGGCUCAACCUGGGAACGGCAUCCGGAACUGUCAAGCUAGAGUGCAGGAGAGGAAGGUAGAAUUCCCGGUGUAGCGGUGAAAUGCGUAGAGAUCGGGAGGAAUACCAGUGGCGAAGGCGGCCUUCUGGACUGACACUGACACUGAGGUGCGAAAGCGUGGGUAGCAAACAGGAUUAAUACCCUAGUAGUC
rnacentral:rRNA from 1 species